rnacentral:rRNA from 1 species
AUGACUAGUCACGGGAACGACCAGAAAUACGCUCGAGAUGAAUGUCAUCCUACAAAGCAAGGAAGGCUGAAUGUUGAUGAGGUAGGUGGAAGUAGAAACAACCUCAACCCAAAAGUGUGGUGGAAGAGAGGCAACGAUCUUCAACGUAUGAGCCGCCUCAAGAAGGUGACGAUGCUUGCUCUCAACAACAACAUUCUGAGCAUCAUGUCCACGCUAAGAGAACCGAGCAAGUGUGCCCUGCUCAGCAAGGAAUCCGCGCAACAAACGGUAGAUAAAAUCACGAGUAAAAUCUGCAUGAAAGACACAGAUAGGAGUGGAAAACAGGGUAUGAGGCAUUGCUGCAAACUUCUUCCAAAUAGACAAGACCUCACUACAAGAAGGCAUAAAAUAUAUCCACAUGUGUCGAGAGAUAAUAUAGUAGCAAUAGCCUCCUUUCGAGGCAAAGGGAGCUGGACCCCAAACAUCAAGUGA